rnacentral:ncRNA from 1 species
CGGACGUUCCGUGGGAGCCCGGAGGAACGGGCUGAGAGGGCGUCAGGCGCCGACCACUACGACUGGAUGCGGGUCAUGCCGCCGUCAGGAGGAAUCGCACACGUGCA